UGAUAAAUAGUCUGCGAGAGCGCGGAGAACGUGAUAUUUGCAAGUUCGGGUCUACGUAUAUUUGCACCGAGUAAUUUUAACGUUUUACAAUUUCGAAUACAGAGCCAUGCACUAUUUAUCGAAUGUUGCUCAUGAACUACCAAAAUUUUUGCAAAAAAAGGAAGGAUAGAAAACCGCUGGUAUGUUACCAUUGCGAAUUCAGAUGACUGGUAAGGACCUAUCACGAUUGUUAUUAUUAUAUUAUUUAUGAUAUAAAUAAUUUCACAAUAGGUGCAAUAUUUCCAAAGGCGUAAUAAAAAUAAAUGUAGCCCGUAACCUCUGCGGCCAAACAAACUAAAAUGAAAGCUUCCCGUCUUUGCUUCUUCUUAACGUUCAGGCAAUUACUAAAUUACCACGAGGCAACUAACGGAACCGACAAAAACUAGUCUAUAUCAGACGAUCCGCUGAGCAAACUACUUAAAGUUAAUUUCGUAAUAUAUUUCAAUAAAAGUUUUGCUCCCCGAAAAGUUUCACCGAAACUUGGAAGCGAUAGAAUGUCUGUCGUCGUUGAAAAGGAAAAUCCAGUUCCGGCUCAUUAAUUUAAACUGUGACGCACA